AUAUGAUAUUAGCAAGUCAUUUAAAAAAUGUUGAAAAACUUACAACCAAUUGGCCCAGAUAUAAAGUAUAUCAGAAAGUAUGAUAACUCUUCUUCUGACUGGA